GAAAGAAGAACCAGUAGAGAGAUCCAGAACCUUCUUAAACCCUAAACCCCUCUGCCGGCUGGAGCAGGUCCUGCCAUUAAAUUUCAGGUCAUCGUUGUCGUCCUGCUUUCAACUUCCCUUCUUCAAUGGCGAAGCGUUUGAUUCCUUCCCUCAACCGCAUCCUCGUGGAGAAGAUCGUUCCACCUUCCAAGACCAGCGCUGGAAUCCUCCUUCCGGAAAAGACAACCAAGCUCAACUCUGGUAAAGUGGUGGCAGUGGGUCCCGGUUUACAUGAUAGCAACGGCAAUCAUAUCCCUGUCUCUGUGAAGGAAGGAGACACGGUUCUACUGCCUGAAUAUGGUGGUACUGAAGUGAAACUUGGUGACAAAGAGUAUCAUGUUUACCGGGAUGAUGACGUACUUGGGACCAUUCAAGACUGACACAGUUCUUUGAUUUGAUGUUUUGGGAGUGGCUUAAAAGUUGAAUUUUUAGUGGAGCCUGAUAAUCUCAUCUUCAAAUCUUUAAUAUUGCUGCUCCUCUUUCAUCGAGUGCCCUGGGCCGAUGAUUACUGGGUAUCUUGUCCACCUUUGGCAUGGUUUGGACGGUAGAUCUACAUCUUGUGGGUAUAGUCGAAUGGAUACUCGGAUAAGCCAUCAAAGGUAUGGUUUAACUUUCGGUAAGUAUAAAUAUUACUUUAGAUUAUAUUGAAUUCUGAUCUAAGAAGGCUGCUCGAUUAAAAGAUGAAUAAGUCUUCAUAAUUGUUAACAUUGAUUGAUGAGGCAAUGUCAUAGUGCUUGUCCUAAUCAAACUGGGCGUUGAUCCAGCUAUCCUCGUGUGAGUCAGUGGAUGAAAUUUCUAGAGGUUAGAUUAAGAUUUUCUUAAAGAGAGAUGGAUAGAUUCGUCCUUUUCAGAGAAAUUUAUUAAUAAUAUCUCUUAAAAGUGGGAGAAGUCGUUGCCUUUUUAAGCCUAUACGAAAGAAGAUAGCUUUAAAUAAGCCAAUAAUCCCAUGAGCACUGUUUUAAAAAGCCCUUGUUUGACCACAUACACAACCUCUUAGGUGAAUCUUGAAGGGUGCCACAUACUAACCUCAUACGAUAUGACAUUUGUGGUUUGCAUGUAUAAAUACAAAACCUUACUCGAUAGCUUCUAAUUUGUAAUAGCUAAUAAAGACAAAUAAUUCCUUUCGUUAGAUGGACAAUAAUUAUUGCUCAUACUAUAAAGUACAUAAAAUGCAUGGUUUGAGCAACUAUUUACCAGAAAGGUUUUCAGGCCAACAGCUUGAACCAAAUAAAUCAAAACUAUUUUUUUUCAAAAAAAAAAAUGACGACUUUCCUCUAAUCGAAUAUAAUUGAAGUAUAAAUUAUUCACACUAAAAUAUUCAUGUCUGGAAAGGAAUCAUUUCUCUUCGUGUACAAAAUUGUCAAGAAACUAGUAAGUUGGAUGGUUUGUCUCUUUAGUUGAAAACUCUUUGGCAUGCUGCAUGCAUGCAUCCAAACAUUUAACAGGUCGAAGCUGUUGGAGAGUCAUAGUCAUUGUUAGGAGGAGGUUCUGUGUCGUCCAGUGCAUGGUUAUCAAAAGGUCCCACAAGAGGAUGUAAAG